GGUAAACCUCAAAAAGUUUGACGUUGUCAUGGACCGAACAAAAUAACUUUUUUUUUCAGCUGGUGAUUGUCGUUAUGGGAUCGGGUUUAUCAUUAUUUAUUGCCAACAUCAAAGUAAAUUGGAGCCUAUGAGUUAACUCAAAUGUGGAAAAGGACUUUUGUGGAGGCACAAGAUUCGCUGUUGAUCAACCAUCUCGGACCAUAUUCCUGCAGAGUACGGAAGGCAUGAUCGUUGUGGAUUCCGGUAGUGUGGGUUGUGUGUGGGUUGUAGAGCGAAUGAUUUUGUUUCGUUCCCGGCAGCCUAAAGCUGACAAAAGUUGCGAUUUUCGUUUGUUGAGCUUCUUUCGAAAAAAGCUCCGUCCUGGCUGGUUCAUACAAAAAAGUGGACAAGAAGUAGCAACGAGACCGAGAAAAUACUGCAAAAUCGCAACUUAAGAAGAAGCUGCUGAUUGGUGAAUAAAAGAGCAGUUCCUAAUAGCGGUCAAGUUCCUCAAGCAGUAGUUCGUCUUUGUCGAGAUUUUCGUUCUUGCCUUCCGCCAGUCAAAGAAGACCAGUCCAAAUCCAAUUAUCAAACGGAGCGCUGGCAUCGGCUUUUUCGAUUUGGCAACCCUGACCCUGAUGAGGAGGCUCUCAUGGACUGCAAAUCGUGCUAGUCGGCAAACUGUUCCUGUCCCUUAGACGUUCUCAAGACGGAUCUUUGCCCGUUUAAAUCCACCCAGGCUUGCAAAACCUACAACGCGCGUGACCCGCUAGUUCUGCUGUUCCAGAUGCGAUCCUGGCUGGUGAAUGAAAGAUUCAAGAGAAAUCAAGCAAAGAGACCACCCGGCCAUGGAAGUGUAAGGACCUGCUGAAUUUGUACGAAGUGCGGCCAGCUUUCAUUUGAUUAGUUUACAACUUCUGUGAUUUGUCUGCAUGUUCUUUUAAAUUCUUUAAUAAAAGAUGAUAUAGGGCUGAAGAGGGGAGGGGGGGGGAUAUUCUACGAUGACACGAUUUCACAAUACUUCUUAAGGUGGCUCGGGAACCUCGCCAUGGACCACACCUUGUAGGAACCAGGCUAUGUUCUUGCCAAGAUCUCGCAAGCGUCCAUUCGCAUCAUCCUCAAGGUUGCGCUUUAAAAUGUCCAAUGCUGUGAAUGUUUUUUUAGUUCGGCGCAGUUUUUGAAGGACACCUCGAUAUGGGCAGCUGAAUAUAGCGAUCUGCCGGAAAUUUCAACGAAUUGUAAAAGCAAUUCUAGUUUAAUAGCUCCAUUGAUUCUUGGGCAUUUCCAGCCGGAACGGUCUAUUUUUUAAUUGUCGUGUUCGUUGCUGUCUCACUCGCGCCACUUCUCUUCAAUGUAGAUGCUCUGAGGUAUGUCCUGCGGUAGAUUUGGAAUCUGGCUCCAGCACAGCGAAAAUCUUCAGUACAAUCCAUGAAUCAACCAUGUCGACUUAAAAUUUGCCUCAUGGACAUUUACACCGAAUAAAACUUGAUCCUUUUAACCCAUCUUUCAGUAUAAAUCGUAGACUAUCCCCCCCCCCUCCCCUCUUCUUACAACAUUGUGAAGCUCUUUUAGGCGCCUCGAAUAGAUUUGAUCGUUUGUUUUUUUA
rnacentral:lncRNA from 1 species